rnacentral:rRNA from 1 species
AACGCGAAGAACCUUACCAACCCUUGACAUGGGAAGUAUGGGCCUCGGAGACGGGGUUCUUCAGUUCGGCUGGCUUCCACACAGGUGCUGCAUGGCUGUCGUCAGCUCGUGUCGUGAGAUGUUGGGUUAAGUCCCGCAACGAGCGCAACCCUUAUCCCUAGUUGCCAUCGGGUCAAGCCGGGCACUCUAGUGAAACCGCGCGGGAUAACCGCGAGGAAGGUGGGGAUGACGUCAAGUCCUCAUGGCCUUUAUGUCCAGGGCUACACACGUGCUACAAUGGUCGGUACAAACCGUCGCAAACCCGCGAGGGGGAGCUAAUCGGAAAAAGCCGGCCUCAGUUCGGAUUGGAGUCUGCAACCCGACUCCAUGAAGCUGGAAUCGCUAGUAAUCGCGGAUCAGAACGCCGCGGUGAAUACGUUCCCGGGCCUUGUACACACCGCGCAUA